rnacentral:rRNA from 1 species
UCCUGCCAGUAGUCAUAUGCUUGUCUCAAAGAUUAAGCCAUGCAUGUCUCAGUUCAGGCCCUAGUACGGUGAAACCGCGAAUGGCUCAUUAAAUCAGCUAUGGUUUAUUGGAUCGUACCCGUUAAAUGGAUAACUGUAAUGACUCUAGAGCUAAUACAUGCUUUGAUGCCCUGACUCUGCUGUUUGCUUGCUUGUCCGCUGCUGUCUAGUAGUGGUGGCAGUAGGCAGUAGGGGAUGGGUGCACUUAUUAGAUCAGAAGCCAACCAAUUGUUCGCAGCACGUGCGCCUGCAUUUGUUGCAUGCAUGCGUGUGUGCGGGUGGGCGUUGAGAGGAGACCGCUUCUGGUGACUCUGGAUAAUUGUUACAGAUCGCAGUCGGCCUUGAGUCGGCGACGGGUCCUUCAAAUGUCUGCCCUAUCAACUGUCGAUGGUAGGUGACCUGCCUACCAUGGUGAUAACGGGUAACGGGGAAUCAGGGUUCGAUUCCGGAGAGGGAGCCUGAGAAACGGCUACCACUUCCAAGGGAGGCAGCAGGCGCGCAAAUUACCCACCCCCGGCACGGGGAGGUGGUGACGAAAAAUACCGAUGCGGGACUCCUUUAAGAGGCUCCGUAAUCGGAAUGAGUGGACUCUAAAUCCUUUCACGAGGAUCUAUUGGAGGGCAAGUCUGGUGCCAGCAGCCGCGGUAACUCCAGCUCCAAUAGCGUAUAUUAAAGUUGCUGCAGUUAAAAAGCUCGUAGUUGGAUCUCGGUAGCAUUGUUGCCUGUUGGUAAUUGAGCGGUCGGUGUGUGGUCAAUGAUGCACGGUCUGGCUGGCACAUUGUCUGCGUGUGUGUGUGUGUGCGUAGUGGAUGCGGCGACGAGUCGGCCAAAUGGUUGGCAGGUUAGUGGGUUGGUUGGUUGACUGACUGACUGACCGACGGACUUGCUCGCUAGGUGGUUGAUGCGUUGUUGGCUUACCAUUGCUGCUGCUGCACGCAUGCAGUGUGUGUGCUUGCGUGGGUUGUGCUGUCGUGGCCAUGAAGAAGCACUGUCGUGUCAAGCCGACAAGGCGAUGGUGUCACCUUUAAGCCAUGUCUGUGGUGUAACAGCCGCAGGUGUGGACGGGUGUUGGGCGGUGCUCUACACACGUUGUGGGGCCUGUCGGCUCGUCUGCAUGCCUUUGGAUGCCCUUGAAUGAGGUGUCUACAGGCGGAUGGCACGUUUACUUUGAACAAAUUUGAGUGCUCAAAUCAGGCCGAUGUUGCCUGAAAAGUUUUGCAUGGAAUAAUGGAAUAGGACUUCGGUUCUAUUUCGUUGGUUUUCGGAUCCGAAGUAAUGAUCAAAAGAGACAGGCGGGGACGUUUGUAUGGCUGCGCUAGAGGUGAAAUUCAUGGACCGUAGCCAGACAAACUAAAGCGAAAGCAUUCGUCAAGCAUGUUUUCAUUGGCCAUGAGCGAAAGUCAGAGGCUCGAAGACGAUCAGAUACCGUCCUAGUUCUGACCAUAAACGAUGCCAACUGACGAUCCGUGGUGGUAGUAAUGUUACCUUCCCCACGGGCAGUCCCCGGGAAACCUUUAAGUGUUUGGGUUCCGGGGGAAGUAUGGUUGCAAAGCUGAAACUUAAAGGAAUUGACGGAAGGGCACCACCAGGAGUGGAGCCUGCGGCUUAAUUUGACUCAACACGGGAAAACUCACCCGGGCCGGACACUAUGAGGAUUGACAGAUUGAGAGCUCUUUCUUGAUUUGGUGGUUGGUGGUGCAUGGCCGUUCUUAGUUGGUGGAGCGAUUUGUCUGGUUAAUUCCGAUAACGAACGAGACUCCAGCCUGCUAAUUAGUGCGUUUGUCCACUGCACCUGCGAUGGUGGCGUUGGAUGACACCGCCUGUCACGCAGGGAUAGGCUCUACUCUCUCGCUAGCGGCGCUCCUCUUCUACUACUUCUUCCGCUUGCUCUUCCUUCUCUUCUUCCGUUGCCGCCGCCGCCGCUGCCAGUGAUGGUGGUGGUGGUGAUGGUGAUGAUGAUGAUGGUGGUAGUAGUGAGUGGAUGAUUGCAGGGGUGAGGCAGCAGCAGCAGGUGUGGAGGGUGUGGCUUGACAUGCGUGGCUGGUUAGUCUGGCGUUGGCCUCCAGGUGUGGCGCGAAUGCCUACUUCUUAGAGGGACAAGCGGGAGAAGCCGCACGAAAUAGAGCAAUAACAGGUCUGUGAUGCCCUUAGAUGUCCGGGGCCGCACGCGCGCUACAAUGACGGUGUCAACGAGUCAGACCUUCUGGCCCGAAAGGGUUGGGCAAACUGGUCAAUCACCGUCGUGACAGGGAUCGGGGCUUGGAAUUGUUCCCCGUGAACGAGGAAUUCCUAGUAAGUGCAAGUCAUAAGCUUGCGCUGAUUACGUCCCUGCCCUUUGUACACACCGCCCGUCGCUACUACCGAUUGAAUGGUUUAGUAAGGUCCUUGGAUUGGCGUCAUUGUGGCGGUGGCUGAGAGAUCAGUUGCAGCCCGACAGGCGCUGAAAAGACGACCGAACUUGAUCAUUUAGAGGAAGUAAAAGUCGUAACAAG